CUCAACUUUGACAGUCAACUUCUGGUGCUGCAUCGUAAACAAAGAAUGGAAUUAUAUUUACACGAAGUGUCUUUCAUUGCGGAAGAAUCUGAUUGUAUCCAAGCGGUGGAGCAGUGAAUAAGUGUUUCCAUAAUCAUGUUUUUACCGAUUACAACUUUGGUUGGAGGUCACGGACUACAGACGGACGAGCACUUAGCAGGUUCCACUACGUUCUACAAGGAAAACAGAACUCUACAAAGGGCAUGGAUAUAUCUGGACGAAUCAUUCUCGCCACGCAACUACCCACUUGUAACGAAUCCAUCUAAAGUUCUUCCGGAAUUGCAUUGACGGUGGAUUCCAAAUUAUUUAGUAUGAAGCUGGCAAUGAUUAGGUGACGAAAUUCUCAUCCACCGAUAGCAAGUCCAGCGCCGAUUACAUAAAGAUGUUUAACAUUAGCGUCACAUACAUUACAAAUAGGAGAAGACCUGCAACCAAUCAGUUAUUUUUCAUUAAAGUUUAAUUUAAUAUGAUUUGAAUUUAAUUUUAAAUUAAUGUAUUCUUUUUGAACUUUAAUUCAAUUUAAUUUAAUUAUGUUUAAUUUCUAUUCAAUUUUAACUAAAUUUUAAUUUUACAAAUUCUAUUUUGUUUUUUUAAUUUAAAUUUUAAGUGUAACGAUAGAAAAUUGUUAAAUUGUUUGCUUGUUUGUUGUUAUAAUUUGUUUGUUUGUUGUUAUAAGUAGUAAUGAGCUCAGUUCGAGUACGAUAUUUCUCCAAGUCGAGCUGAGUUGUGACUGCCAAUUGUUGAUUCCGAAAUACGUUUUACAAUGAUUAUAAUAAUAAUAACAAAUUGAAACUCAAUUUAAAAUUGAAUAUAGAAUAUAAAAUCAAAAUUUAAACAAACUAAAAUAAUAUUGCAUCAUCUGUAUUUCACAAUCUUCAUUGUAUUAAUGUAUAUGUUUUUCUUUACCAAUAUUAGAAUUAAUGUAACAAUUUAAGAUAGUAAAAUUAUGUCAUAUUGAAAUAUAUUUGAUUUUAACAGCAAUAUUGUUAGAGCUUCUAUAGUGGAAAGCCUCCACUUGCCAUGUA